UGCCUUCGGGAGCCGUGAGACAGGUGCUGCAUGGCUGUCGUCAGCUCGUGUCGUGAGAUGUUGGGUUAAGUCCCCGCAACGAGCGCAACCCUUGUCUUUAAUUGCCAUCAUUCAGUUGGGCACUUUAAAGAGACUGUCGGUGUUAAACCGGAGGAAGUGGGAUGACGUCAAAUCAUCAUGCCCCUUAUGACCUGGGCUACACACGUGCUACAAUGGUUGGUACAACGAGUUGCGAGUCGGUGACGGCGAGCUAAUCUCUUAAAGCCAAUCUCAGUUCGGAUUGUAGGCUGCAACUCGCCUACAUGAAGUCGGAAUCGCUAGUAAUCGCGGAUCAGCACGCCGCGGUGAAUACGUUCCCGGGCCUU
rnacentral:rRNA from 1 species